CUUGUGGACUAUCAUAUCAACUGUAUUAGCGAGUUUCGUGCGAGGCAGGAUAGGAAGAAGCAAGAA
rnacentral:ncRNA from 12 species